GUCUCAAGCAUUCCACAGUGAGUGGUGUUGGGGCCAGUGCACGGAAGGCCCGGUUGCCACACUGUGAGAAGAGGGGCUGCCUAUAGACUGAACGUAAGAAAAAACUCUAAGGUGGCAAAUGCCCAAGCUGCGCCUGUGGACGGCAUAUAAGGUUGCCAGGUGUUCAGUCAGAAAUGUCCUCCGAGCCAUCUGGAGCAGAGGAAGAUGCAUUCCUGAUGAAGGAGGACUUCUGCCCGACCUUGUUUGUUUAUAUGGUGGAUUACAUUGAUGGAUUUUCGUAUAUUGAACCAUCCCUGCAUCCCUGAGACAAAGCCUAUUUGAUUGUGAUGGAUGAUGUUUUUGAUGUGUUCCUGGAUUCUGUUUGUUCGGCAUCAUGGUGCCCCAAGAUAUCUGCUAGACAUCUUGGCGGAAACACAUACCAACUCCUCGGCGGCCCAGUGUCUCCAGCCGCCGCACACUUUCCUACACUCAAACCGUCACAUAAAAGAACACACAACACAAUAAUCUUAGAUCCAACUGGACAGCUUUCAAGCUCUGGUGGAGACAGGCUGGUUCAUCCGUUUCAUUAUAUUCCUUAGUCACACUGACUACAGGCUUUUACCCUUGACUUACCUGACUGGGCUUCUGCUCUUCUUAGGAGGGCUCCAAGAAGCCCUCACUCCUAAAUACAACUUCUCAUUCAGGCAGGAGCUCAACACAUGAGUCAGCAUCUUUCACAGGAGGCUCACUAAGGGGGAUCAUAUGACAUCCACAGGGUGGCCAAAUGCCACUGCAGUCACCCAGGAAUACCACAGCUGGAAAGUGGACAUAAGUUAUGGGGGAACUCAGACCUAAGAGUAAAGAGACCAAAGGGCCAUUGUGUGAUGCUCAUCCAAGCUGAGACUGAAGACACUCCAUAGCCUAAGGAAGGAUCCCAUAGUGGCUGUGUUGGUGGAAACAUUAGGUAUUCAGGUGACAGAAAACAGGGACUUCUCUGCUCUGCUCCUCAAAUACUAUGUGCUAACAUUCUUAGCGUCGGGUUUCAUGACCCGUCAGAGGAAGGUGGUAUGGGAUUCACCCUAAAAAUCAUGUGACCCUCUUAGGAAUUGAUCAUUCACAAUUUCUGGGUCAGCCCCAUUGUUUUGUGGCUUCCCUUGUUCCUUGGUAGGUGGCGGUGUCUUCAGAGAAGACCAUGAACACCUGCAUGUAUAGAAGGAAUCUCAGACUAUUUUCUUUAUCUUUUAUAGAAAAAUUCUAAUUAAAAGAUAAUAAUAUAGUCAAGACUACCAUUUUGAUGCAUUUUCACCUACCCCGAAGUUUGUAUUAGAGCAAGGCAGUGUCACAAUAAAACAUUGCUGGGGUUAA